rnacentral:rRNA from 1 species
UACGGAGGGAGCUAGCGUUGUUCGGAAUUACUGGGCGUAAAGCGCACGUAGGCGGCUUUGUAAGUUAGAGGUGAAAGCCCGGGGCUCAACUCCGGAACUGCCUUUAAGACUGCAUCGCUUGAAUCCAGGAGAGGUGAGUGGAAUUCCGAGUGUAGGGGUGAAAUUCGUAGAUAUUCGGAAGAACACCAGUGGCGAAGGCGGCUCACUGGACUGGUAUUGACGCUGAGGUGCGAAAGCGUGGGGAGCAAACAGG